GACGAACGCUGGCGGCGUGCUUAACACAUGCAAGUCGAACGGAAAGGCCCUGCUUUUGUGGGGUGCUCGAGUGGCGAACGGGUGAGUAACACGUGAGUAACCUGCCCUUGACUUUGGGAUAACUUCAGGAAACUGGGGCUAAUACCGGAUAGGAGCUCCUGCUGCAUGGUGGGGGUUGGAAAGUUUCGGCGGUUGGGGAUGGACUCGCGGCUUAUCAGCUUGUUGGUGGGGUAGUGGCUUACCAAGGCUUUGACGGGUAGCCGGCCUGAGAGGGUGACCGGCCAAUUGGGGAGUGGGAAACGGCCCGGACCCCUAGGGGAGGAAGGGGGGGGGAAAUUUGCACAAGGGGGGGAAGCCUGAUGCAGCAGCCCCGGGGGGGGGAUGGCGGCCUUGGGGUUGUAAACCGCUUUCGCCUGGGACGAAGGGGGGGUGAGGGUAAUGGGAAAAGAAGCAGCGGCUAACUACGU
rnacentral:rRNA from 1 species